rnacentral:rRNA from 1 species
GGUUAAGCGACUAAGCGUACACGGUGGAUGCCCUGGCAGUCAGAGGCGAUGAAGGACGUGCUAAUCUGCGAUAAGCGUCGGUAAGGUGAUAUGAACCGUUAUAACCGGCGAUUUCCGAAUGGGGAAACCCAGUGUGUUUCGACACACUAUCAUUAACUGAAUCCAUAGGUUAAUGAGGCGAACCGGGGGAACUGAAACAUCUAAGUACCCCGAGGAAAAGAAAUCAACCGAGAUUCCCCCAGUAGCGGCGAGCGAACGGGGAGCAGCCCAGAGCCUGAAUCAGUGUGUGUGUUAGUGGAAGCGUCUGGAAAGGCGCGCGAUACAGGGUGACAGCCCCGUACACAAAAAUACACAUACUGUGAGCUCGAUGAGUAGGGCGGGACACGUGGUAUCCUGUCUGAAUAUGGGGGGACCAUCCUCCAAGGCUAAAUACUCCUGACUGACCGAUAGUGAACCAGUACCGUGAGGGAAAGGCGAAAAGAACCCCGGCGAGGGGAGUGAAAAAGAACCUGAAACCGUGUACGUACAAGCAGUGGGAGCACGCUUAGGCGUGUGACUGCGUACCUUUUGUAUAAUGGGUCAGCGACUUAUAUUCUGUAGCAAGGUUAACCGAAUAGGGGAGCCGAAGGGAAACCGAGUCUUAACUGGGCGUUAAGUUGCAGGGUAUAGACCCGAAACCCGGUGAUCUAGCCAUGGGCAGGUUGAAGGUUGGGUAACACUAACUGGAGGACCGAACCGACUAAUGUUGAAAAAUUAGCGGAUGACUUGUGGCUGGGGGUGAAAGGCCAAUCAAACCGGGAGAUAGCUGGUUCUCCCCGAAAGCUAUUUAGGUAGCGCCUCGUGAAUUCAUCUCCGGGGGUAGAGCACUGUUUCGGCAAGGGGGUCAUCCCGACUUACCAACCCGAUGCAAACUGCGAAUACCGGAGAAUGUUAUCACGGGAGACACACGGCGGGUGCUAACGUCCGUCGUGAAGAGGGAAACAACCCAGACCGCCAGCUAAGGUCCCAAAGUCAUGGUUAAGUGGGAAACGAUGUGGGAAGGCCCAGACAGCCAGGAUGUUGGCUUAGAAGCAGCCAUCAUUUAAAGAAAGCGUAAUAGCUCACUGGUCGAGUCGGCCUGCGCGGAAGAUGUAACGGGGCUAAACCAUGCACCGAAGCUGCGGCAGCGACGCUUAUGCGUUGUUGGGUAGGGGAGCGUUCUGUAAGCCUGCGAAGGUGUGCUGUGAGGCAUGCUGGAGGUAUCAGAAGUGCGAAUGCUGACAUAAGUAACGAUAAAGCGGGUGAAAAGCCCGCUCGCCGGAAGACCAAGGGUUCCUGUCCAACGUUAAUCGGGGCAGGGUGAGUCGACCCCUAAGGCGAGGCCGAAAGGCGUAGUCGAUGGGAAACAGGUUAAUAUUCCUGUACUUGGUGUUACUGCGAAGGGGGGACGGAGAAGGCUAUGUUGGCCGGGCGACGGUUGUCCCGGUUUAAGCGUGUAGGCUGGUUUUCCAGGCAAAUCCGGAAAAUCAAGGCUGAGGCGUGAUGACGAGGCACUACGGUGCUGAAGCAACAAAUGCCCUGCUUCCAGGAAAAGCCUCUAAGCAUCAGGUAACAUCAAAUCGUACCCCAAACCGACACAGGUGGUCAGGUAGAGAAUACCAAGGCGCUUGAGAGAACUCGGGUGAAGGAACUAGGCAAAAUGGUGCCGUAACUUCGGGAGAAGGCACGCUGAUAUGUAGGUGAAGUCCCUCGCGGAUGGAGCUGAAAUCAGUCGAAGAUACCAGCUGGCUGCAACUGUUUAUUAAAAACACAGCACUGUGCAAACACGAAAGUGGACGUAUACGGUGUGACGCCUGCCCGGUGCCGGAAGGUUAAUUGAUGGGGUUAGCGCAAGCGAAGCUCUUGAUCGAAGCCCCGGUAAACGGCGGCCGUAACUAUAACGGUCCUAAGGUAGCGAAAUUCCUUGUCGGGUAAGUUCCGACCUGCACGAAUGGCGUAAUGAUGGCCAGGCUGUCUCCACCCGAGACUCAGUGAAAUUGAACUCGCUGUGAAGAUGCAGUGUACCCGCGGCAAGACGGAAAGACCCCGUGAACCUUUACUAUAGCUUGACACUGAACAUUGAGCCUUGAUGUGUAGGAUAGGUGGGAGGCUUUGAAGUGUGGACGCCAGUCUGCAUGGAGCCGACCUUGAAAUACCACCCUUUAAUGUUUGAUGUUCUAACGUUGACCCGUGAUCCGGGUUGCGGACAGUGUCUGGUGGGUAGUUUGACUGGGGCGGUCUCCUCCUAAAGAGUAACGGAGGAGCACGAAGGUUGGCUAAUCCUGGUCGGACAUCAGGAGGUUAGUGCAAUGGCAUAAGCCAGCUUGACUGCGAGCGUGACGGCGCGAGCAGGUGCGAAAGCAGGUCAUAGUGAUCCGGUGGUUCUGAAUGGAAGGGCCAUCGCUCAACGGAUAAAAGGUACUCCGGGGAUAACAGGCUGAUACCGCCCAAGAGUUCAUAUCGACGGCGGUGUUUGGCACCUCGAUGUCGGCUCAUCACAUCCUGGGGCUGAAGUAGGUCCCAAGGGUAUGGCUGUUCGCCAUUUAAAGUGGUACGCGAGCUGGGUUUAGAACGUCGUGAGACAGUUCGGUCCCUAUCUGCCGUGGGCGCUGGAGAACUGAGGGGGGCUGCUCCUAGUACGAGAGGACCGGAGUGGACGCAUCACUGGUGUUCGGGUUGUCAUGCCAAUGGCACUGCCCGGUAGCUAAAUGCGGAAGAGAUAAGUGCUGAAAGCAUCUAAGCACGAAACUUGCCCCGAGAUGAGUUCUCCCUGACUCCUUGAGAGUCCUGAAGGAACGUUGAAGACGACGACGUUGAUAGGCCGGGUGUGUAAGCGCAGCGAUGCGUUGAGCUAACCGGUACUAAUGAACCGUGAGGCUUAACCUU